UGGACAAGUCUCAACAGAGAGCAUGGGUGA
rnacentral:piRNA from 1 species